GACGAACGCUGGCGGCGUGCUUAACACAUGUAAGUCGAACGGAAGGGCCCCUUUGGGGGUACUCGAGUGUCGAACGGGUGAGUAACACUUGAGUAACCUGCCCUUGACUUCGGGAUAACUUCAGGAAACUGGGGCUAAUACCGGAUAGGAAUCCUUGCUUCAUGGGGGGGGUUGGAAAGCUUCGGCGGUUUUGGAUGGACUCGCGGCUUAUCAGCUUGUUGGUGGGGUAGUGGCUUACCAAGGCUUUGACGGGUAGCCGGACUGAGAGGGCGACCGGCCACAUUGGGACUGACAUACGGCCCAGACUCCUACGGGAGGCAGCAGUGGGGAAUAUUGAACAAUGGGCGGAAGCCUGAUGCAGCAACGCCGCGUGCGGGAUGACGGCCUUCGGGUUGUAAACCGCUUUCAGCAGGGGCGAAGCUUGUGGUGACGGUACCUGCAGAAGAAGCACCGGCUAACUACGUG
rnacentral:rRNA from 1 species